UAACGCGUGAGUAACCUGCCUCGUACAGGGGGAUAACAGUUAGAAAUAGACUGCUAAUACCGCAUGAGCGCACAGUGCUGCAUGGCACAGUGUGAAAAACUCCGGUGGUAUGAGAUGGACCCGCGUCUGAUUAGCUAGUUGGUGGGGUAACGGCCUACCAAGGCGACGAUCAGUAGCCGGCCUGAGAGGGUGAACGGCCACAUUGGGACUGAGACACGGCCCAA
rnacentral:rRNA from 1 species